CGUGCGCACGCGUGCAGGGAGAGGGAGGGUUCAGUGGAAGCAGAGGGACGGCGUUCGCACGGAGAGAGCGUUGCGGGGCUCGUCUAGGGAAAAGAGAAAGUGCGUCGCUUGCGGCUUGAGUCGGUGUGGGUGGGGUGGGGUGGGUCGAGUUUAGGCUGCGGUGGUUGCUGGCGCGGUGGUUUUCGAAGGCGGAAAAGGAGGUGACUAGGGAGGAGUAGAAGAGAGAGUGCCUCAGGUCCGGUGGGGAGAGGAGGGAGCGACAGAGGAAAGAAAGAAGGAGACGCGAGCGCGCACACGGGGCGACAAAUACGCGGCCAUCUAGGGGCUGCGCUGCGCAGGGCGCCUCCUCCUCGAUCCGUCCGGCUCUACUUGAGCUGCCGCAUGAGCGCCGGCAGGUUCGACGGCCCGCCGCGGCCGCUGUCCUCCGGCGGGUGCGCGGAGGCCCCGAAGCGGAGGUUCUAGCUCGGGUUCUUCGAGCCGCGACCGGAGGAGCGGCCGACGACGGAGCGCGAGGAGUGGAUGCAGAGGGAGCGGUUCGAGAAGCGGUAGAUGAGGGGGCAGAAGCGAUCGUGUCGGUUGUGCAGGCCGGACGAGGUCUUGCGGGGCGGCCGCAGCAGCAGCAGCAGGCAGGGCCUCUGCUGCCUACGGUAGGGCCGGCUUCUGUGGUGUAAGUAGCCGGCGCUCUUGCCGUUGCGGCACCUAGGGCAGCUAAAGGGUCUCCUCCCGGGCCGCAGCCGGCCGAGAGUUCUUGGGCCGCACGGCCUCCACGAGAGCUCUUUCCUCCUGCUUCGGCUCUUCCGCCGCCUCCGCCGCUGCUGGAGGCACGGUUUCGGUAGGCGCCUCCCGCCGCGGCCGCCCCUCCCACGCCGUAAUCGUUUCUACUCGACGCUGCUCUUGCCCCACCUGCUCCCCAAGGGGAUGCGCGCAGGCAGCCACACGCUCGACAGGCCGCUGUAGGCCUAGUCGGGGUUCGUCUUCUGGUACAUGGACCACUUGGGCAGCCCGCGGCCGCCGAAGCUGCUCUUGCCGCUCUUCGCCGAGGCCGGCAUGCGGGCGUUCCUGCUGAAGGAGGAGGGGCGGCACCACCUCCACUGGCAGUUCAGGCAGGGGAGCCGCCGCCGGCGCGGCGUCACGUGCUUCGCCGUGGCGCAGGGGCGCCACCACAAGAGGCACCGGCCCAUGUGCCUGUUGAAGAAGGUGCUGUUGUGCCUGCGCGACUAGGGCGACAAGGACUGCCGCAGCGUGGAGUACCCGCUCCACGUCGACGAGUAGUGGUUGAUGUUCGGUACCACCCACGUCUUCAUGUGCGGCCACGACGCGUUCGAGAGGUUGAUGCUGGGGUAGUUGAAGCUGCGCCUGCGGCCGCACGUGACGAAGCGCCGCCCCAAGGACCCGGACAUGGCGCUGGCCCUGGAGUAGUAGAGCGGCGUGGGCUGGGCGUUGGGCGCGUUGAUGUGGUACCACCUGAUGUUGGCGAAGUAGGCGAGGCGGAUGCGCGAGGCGGCGCUGGCGGGGAGCCGCGAGCCCCUCCACGGGCCCUACGCCGGCGUCUACGACUAGUAGAGGGCGCCCCCGUGCGCCUUCGACGACUUGGACCUCCUCCACCGGCGGCGGCGCUGCCUCGACCCCAAGUUGCACUGCCACCGCCUCCGCCCCCGCCUGCACGGCCGCAAGCGCCGCGACCACUUGAGGCGCCUGCACGACGACCGCCACGUGCCCCGGCCCGACUGCUUGGUCUAGAAGGACGGCUGCGUCCGCCACCACCACGUCUAGCACGGCACCCCCUUGUACCUGACCUACCGCUGGUUGAAGAUGCCCGUCGGCCGCGCCCUCUACGUCGAGGCCAUGCACCUCAUGAUGCACCUGCUCCUCCUCUGCUCGGAGUUCCUGUUCAUGGGAGCCCUCGUGGACCACAAGUCGCUGGGGUUCCGCGACGUGUUCGUCCCCACCGUCCGCGAGCGGCUCUGGUAGUACUUCGUCCUGCACUUCCACUUGGAGUGGUCCAAGGCCGGGAAGGACGAGGUCCGGUAGCUGUUCGACGUCCUCAUCGGCGCCGCGGCCGCGGCCGCAGAGGCAACAGUAGCGUCCAACCAUUACCUUCCAUAUGGUGAGUGCCAGUGUUAGUGUAUUUGUAUGUGUCCGUUUGUGCCGCCGCUCUUUGUAACAUUAUGACCUUUCCCAGUAACAGACUACUUGUAUCCUCCGAAGCUUAACCAAACAACCAACCAAAACAUAAAUGAGUAAAACCAACCUAUCACGUCAACGUGCGUUCUCCUUACAAGUAAUAAACAAGAAGUAAAGUGGACGUCAAGUUUUAUCCGGUGAGGCCGAGCGACACUAAAGUCAUACUUGGAAAUCAAAGCAGCUAAAUUUUUUUACUAUGUCGGUUGGGUCAUACUUGGAAAUCAA
rnacentral:rRNA from 1 species